UUUUAAGCUUUUCAGAGGAAUUUGCUCUUUAAUGGAUAAAACACCUAAAUCUUACUAGAAUUAGUUAAGCAGUUUGUAUACCACUAUUAAAGUAAUAAUUUGUUGUUAUUAUUAGAAUUUACAAAAAAAUAAAAAAAGUUAAGUCAAGGUGCAGCAAAAAUUUUAGAAUGAAGUGAAUUACAUUACUUUUAAGUGAGUAUUAUUGAAAAUAAAUUUAGGAUUUGAAAGUAAAAUUUUAAUAGAAAGAAAAUUUGAAUUUAGCUCUAAAAUAU
rnacentral:rRNA from 1 species